GCCACACCAUCGAACUACUUCCCUUGCUGCUUCUCUGAACGCUAACUUGAUGACGUCUUUUGGCGCCAACUUUCAUCAACAACCACCAUUCUUGAUCCUCAGAGUCUGCGAGCUUGGUCUCAGGCAGGCCCGGCUCAGGAGGGUGGGCAAAGGGGCAUUGGCCUAGGGCCCAAAAGAUUUUUUGCAUAAAUAGUAUUGAAAAGGGGCCCAAUAUUUUUAAAAAAAUUGAAGAUAAGGCCCGAAAUUUUUAAGUUAUCAUAUAAUUAUGUAAAAAAAAAAAUUUUUGAUUAUUUUGCCAAGGGCCCAAAAUUCUUUUGAGCCGGGCCUGUCAGGAGCCCAGUUCUCGAUGAGUUUCAAGAAUCGCAUGGCCGUAGAAGGAGGGCAUUUGCUGCAGAGCUUUGAAGGUCCAAUACUUUCUUGAUGACUAGAGGCCGAACACUGUUUUUGACCCCU
rnacentral:lncRNA from 1 species